rnacentral:misc_RNA from 1 species
AACGCAUAUUGCACCUAUUGGUAUUCCGAUAGGUAUGCUUGUUCGAGUCUCAGUUUUCACCUCACACAACCAAUGGUUUUUAAAAGCUGUAAUGGCGCCAGGUGGUUAAUGUGGUAUUGAGUGUAUUCCCACUUGGUAAACGAGAGGGUCACUUGAAAUACUUGGUAGCUUUAUGGGUCCGAUAAUGCUUCGCAUAUUUCGAAAAGCUCAAAGUACCGCUAAGUUUAAGCCUUUACUGGUCACUCUUUAGCUGGGAAAUUUUUGAAAUGAAGCACUCCGACUUUAUACCAAAUCUGAUAUUGAAUGGCAGUCGUAGCUACUGACUAUUCAAAAUCUUUGAACCCUUGAGCUCGAAUCAAGCAAGAUUACCCGCUGAACUUAA